GUGAAAUUCCGUCGGAAUCUGGGAGGACCAUCUCCUAAGGCUAAAUACUCUCUAGUGACCGAUAGUGAACCAGUACCGUGAGGGAAAGGUGAAAAGCACCCCGGAAGGGGAGUGAAAUAGAACCUGAAACCGUGUGCUUACAAGUAGUCAGAGCCCGUUAAUGGGUGAUGGCGUGCCUUUUGUAGAAUGAACCGGCGAGUUACGAUUUGAUGCAAGGUUAAGCAGUAAAUGUGGAGCCGUAGCGAAAGCGAGUCUGAAUAGGGCGUUUAGUAUUUGGUCGUAGACCCGAAACCAGGUGAUCUACCCUUGGUCAGGUUGAAGUUCAGGUAACACUGAAUGGAGGACCGAACCGACUUACGUUGAAAAGUGAGCGGAUGAACUGAGGGUAGCGGAGAAAUUCCAAUCGAACCUGGAGAUAGCUGGUUCUCUCCGAAAUAGCUUUAGGGCUAGCCUCAAGUGAUGAUUAUUGGAGGUAGAGCACUGUUUGGACGAGGGGCCCCUCUCGGGUUACCGAAUUCAGACAAACUCCGAAUGCCAAUUAAUUUAACUUGGGAGUCAGAACAUGGGUGAUAAGGUCCGUGUUCGAAAGGGAAACAGCCCAGACCACCAGCUAAGGUCCCAAAAUAUAUGUUAAGUGGAAAAGGAUGUGGCGUUGCCCAGACAACUAGGAUGUUGGCUUAGAAGCAGCCAUCAUUUAAAGAGUGCGUAAUAGCUCACUAGUCGAGUGACACUGCGCCGAAAAUGUACCGGGGCUAAACAUAUUACCGAAGCUGUGGAUUGUCCUUUGGACAAUGGUAGGAGAGCGUUCUAAGGGCGUUGAAGCAUGAUCGUAAGGACAUGUGGAGCGCUUAGAAGUGAGAAUGCCGGUGUGAGUAGCGAAAGACGGGUGAGAAUCCCGUCCACCGAUUGACUAAGGUUUCCAGAGGAAGGCUCGUCCGCUCUGGGUUAGUCGGGUCCUAAGCUGAGGCCGACAGGCGUAGGCGAUGGAUAACAGGUUGAUAUUCCUGUACCACCUAUAAUCGUUUUAAUCGAUGGGGGGACGCAGUAGGAUAGGCGAAGCGUGCGAUUGGAUUGCACGUCUAAGCAGUAAGGCUGAGUAUUAGGCAAAUCCGGUACUCGUUAAGGCUGAGCUGUGAUGGGGAGAAGACAUUGUGUCUUCGAGUCGUUGAUUUCACACUGCCGAGAAAAGCCUCUAGAUAGAAAAUAGGUGCCCGUACCGCAAACCGACACAGGUAGUCAAGAUGAGAAUUCUAAGGUGAGCGAGCGAACUCUCGUUAAGGAACUCGGCAAAAUGACCCCGUAACUUCGGGAGAAGGGGUGCUCUUUAGGGUUAACGCCCAGAAGAGCCGCAGUGAAUAGGCCCAAGCGACUGUUUAUCAAAAACACAGGUCUCUGCUAAACCGUAAGGUGAUGUAUAGGGGCUGACGCCUGCCCGGUGCUGGAAGGUUAAGAGGAGUGGUUAGCUUCUGCGAAGCUACGAAUCGAAGCCCCAGUAAACGGCGGCCGUAACUAUAACGGUCCUAAGGUAGCGAAAUUCCUUG
rnacentral:rRNA from 1 species